rnacentral:rRNA from 1 species
AUUGAACGCUGGCGGCAGGCUUAACACAUGCAAGUCGAACGAGUGGCGGACGGGUGAGUAAUGUCUGGGAAACUGCCCGAUGGCGGGGGAUAACUACUCGAAACGGUAGCUAAUACCGCAUACCAUCAGAGGUGCCUAGAUUGGAUUAGCUAGUUGGUGGGGUAAAGGCUCACCAAGGCGACGAUCCCUAGCUGGUUUGAGAGGAUGACCAGCCACACUGGAACGGAGACACGGGCCAGACUCCUACGGGAGGCAGCAGUGGGGAAUAUUGGACAAUGGGCGCAACCCUGAUACAGCCAUCCCGCGUGUAUGAAGAAGGCCUUCGGGUUGUAAAGUACUUUCAGCGGGGAGGCGGUACCCGCAGAAGAAGCACCGGCUAACUCCGUGCCAGCAGCCGCGGUAAUAC